rnacentral:rRNA from 1 species
UACAGAGGGUGCAAGCGUUGCUCGGAUUUACUGGGCGUAAAGCGUGCGCAGACGGCCAGGCAGGUCGGGUGUGAAAGCCCCGGGCUCAACCCGGGAAUUGCAUUCGAAAUCGCUCGGCUCGAGUGUGGAAGAGGGAAGCGGAAUUCCCGGUGUAGAGGUGAAAUUCGUAGAUAUCGGGAGGAACACCAGCGGCGAAGGCGGCUUCCUGGUCCAUUACUGACGUUUAGGCACGAAAGCGUGGGGAGCAAACAGG